rnacentral:misc_RNA from 1 species
GAUGAAGAACGCAGCGAAAUGCGAUAAGUAGUUUGAAUUGCAGAAUUCAGUGAAUCAUCGAAUCUUUGAACGCACAUUGCGCCCUUUGGUAUUCCUUAGGGCAUGCCUGUUCGAGCGUCAUUUAAACCUUCAAGCUCAGCUUGGUGUUGGGUGACUGUCCGCUUCACCGCGGACUCGCCUCAAAAUUAUUGGCGGCCGGUACAUUGGCUUCGAGCGCAGCAGAAACGCGAACUCGGGCCCGUCGUAUUGGCUCCCAGAAGCUAUCUUCACAAUUUUGACCUCGGAUCAGGUAGGGAUACCCGCUGAACUUAAGCAUAUCAAUAAGCGGAGGA